UCAAUGCAGAGGUUUCCAAAGAAGCAGAUAAGCAGGAGAAUAUUUUUCUGGUUUGAGAUGCUGAAAUUUUUUCAUCAUAGCUUGCAGUGAAUAUCCUCAGGCACUUGGAGAAACAAAGGUCCUAUGUACUAGUUCGAUCGUAUUGCAUAGUUUAAACAGCAAGUGAACAUGGUCAGAUCAGAUCCCGGCAGCUAUGCCAGAGGAUGGCGAUGCGUUGCUCCGAGUCUGUUCAAACUCGAUGGAGCUCUUGGUUGAUGAUCACAUGUAGACUAGAGGGUUGCUGCUCUUUUAUUGAUAUGACUUGGAGGCACAAGCCAUCAUUCUAUAAGGUCAAUGCCUGAACAAUUGUAAUUCGAGUCAAUGACUACUGAAGAGAAAAGACUGAUACCACCUGCCUUUGGGAGCCGGUCAUAAAAGCCAAUAAUAAUGAUCUCACUGAUGAACCCACUGCAGAAUUGUCUUCUGAUUUCCCAGCAACCAAGCUUAUGGUCUCAAACAUCUGUUGCUGCUAAGAGCAUACACAUUGGACUGCAGCUAUUAUAUCAAUUAUCAUGAGGUAUGAUUGUACUAUUUAAGCUUAUACAAUCUUGUUUCUACACAUGCAAUGUCUUUGAGGUCCAUAUAAGAAAUAAAGUUUUAUCAUAUUGAUGUUAUCUGAGAGCCAAGAGUUGAGCCUUACAGUCGUUCACACAGGUUGGUUUUAGUACAGAAUUCUUGAAUAUUUUUCUAAAGAAUAGCUAAGUCAAUGAGGCAAGACACAUUCUGAGUUGGAAAUUUUGAGAAACAAUGCUGGGAUUAUUAAGUGGAUAAAUUUGAAGCCAUUAGUAUCUAUGUUUUGUACAGAAUGCUGAUAUAUAUCUAUGAUUGGCAAUAAGUUUUAACCUGGUUGUGGCAUUAGAAUUAAGCUUGGGUAUCUUUACUGGGUCAUGGUUCAUAGUUAUCAAAACAAGAACAGUUUGUUGGUAAGGCUAAAUUUUGAUAGAGAUCAUUCAUACAUACAUAAGACUGGCCUGUAGCCUGUUGACCAAACUGGUCCAGGAACAUGUAUAGGAUCCAUAAUUCUAUCACACCAAAACAUCCAUCCAAAAGCAAGUACUUGUGGUGAGUACAUCUUCCUACUGAGAUGAGCGCUUGCUUCCAGUUGGAGACAUGGUGGAUGGUGGGGGAGUGUUGAGGUCUGGAAUAUUGGGAUUGGGGCUGGAGGUGGAGGUGGCAUUGGACUUAGCCAGCUUCUGCUGCAGUUGAGAGAAGAGGACCUGGUUCUCCUGGUUGAGAAGCUGGAGAUUCUUCCUCAACCUCUCGUUCUCCUUCAUGAUGUAGCAGUUCUGCAAGUACAGCUUGGUGUUGAGCCUCUCCAUGGCUUGCUCCAAGGAACAGCACCCUGAAACCAAUAAAGUACAGGUAGUGGGGUGCCUUUGGGCAUGAGAUAUCCUAACAAAAUGUCUUGUUGUCUUUCCAGAAAAGAAGAGAGAAAAGAAAAGGUAAUGGUACUGCAACAUGAGAAAUCCACAAGGAACAAAAAAGACUACACGAGAAACCCACAGAGCCAGCAAACCGAAACAUGCUCCUGACUGUGUGUGUGUGUCCGAGAGAGAGAGAGAGAGAGAGAGAGAGAGAGACAGACAGACAGAGAGAGAGACAGAGAGACAGAGAGAGAAAGCUCUAGAUAAACGUGAUUAGCAAAUAAUUUAUUUUCGCUUCAGAAAUCAGAAUCUAACUUGAAAUAGAAGAACAUAAUAAGGGCGAAAACAAGAUGAGAAGUGCAUUUGUUUCUACUUCAAACAAGAUCACCUUUGAGGAGACGGAUGGAAGGAAACAGAGAAAGACUGAUAUGAAGCUGUGCUGCGGGCUGCAUGGCCUUCCGGGUGGCGAGGUCUCGGGGUUAUUUAUAGGGUGCAAGAAUGGCGCAGGUACUCUCUCUCUCUCUCUCUCUCUCUCUCUCUCUCUCUCUCUCACUCUCACACACACACACACACAUUUCUUUUAGAGAGAGACAUACACAGUGGCAGAUGCAGAAGUCGUGCAUGUGUGGGAUGCAUGCAAGCAAGCAAAGCGAGGAGGCGGCCGGGAGGAGAGCGGGUGGCGUCACAUGAUGAUGGGUGGCCAGCGGAGGGCGUUACGGGGAUUUCACGGGGAUGACUUCACAUGAUCAUGAUGAUGAUUGAUGGUGGUGGGGUUUCCGUCGGCCCAAAGAUUCGCAAUGAUGGCCUCCCUCUUCCCCCCUUCCCUCCUCGAUUCUCUUUUGUUUCUUUCCCAUUAUUAUUACCUUUGAUGACCACUGUUAUCCCAUCCAUUAACUCUCCGUUCCUUUGGCUUCUAUCCAUUUUUUUGUCUCUUCAAAAUCCCAAUAACAUUAAACUCGUCAGUUCCAGUCAUAACAAAGCAGGAGAUGUCAUAGAAAAUAGAUGGUGGUUUUUGGAUUCUUACAGCGUGAGGUGAACAAUUGUUCACCGGGAGACUUUCUUUUCUGUUCUCUCAUCCGUUUCUUAUGGCUCUCAGGUGUUUCUCUCGUAAGGUACUGAUGUUAUGUUUCUGCAAUCAAAGAUGUGCUUGUGGUAACUCUAUGUUUUCUUUUUAUGCAGGUUGGGAGCAUGAAAAGUAGAGCAAAUAUCGCAGGGGUUUCGGUUGAUGUGAAGUAGAUCUUGGCAUAGUAUGAUCAUGUUGGUUUAGGCUGCAACAGAAUGAUGGCGAAGCCUUAGGGGUGAGUAAAUGGUGGUGACACUGGAAUGCUCUAUUGGCCCCCCUCUCCUCUCCCCACACAACUAUCGAGAACCCAAGGUUUACUCUGUGGAAGGCCAGUCAUUGCAGUGUUGCAUGUGGAUGGAUGGUGGUGGUGCUCAUGACCCAUCGCUACAAGGAAGGGCUGCAGGGAUUCUAUCGAUGUUGCCUUCUUGAUUCCUCCUACGGGUUCUUGCAUGGAUCCAAGAACAAAUCAUGAGCAGCACUCGAGUGCUGCACUUGAUAACCAGUCAAAAAAGCACCCAAACAUCAUGGCAGCUUCCAGGAGGAGGCAUCGAGGUACUUUUCACCAUCAUACCAGACUAAAAAGUUCUCAUUGGAUUGUGCCUCCAAUGCAGGCAGAUCUGGCAAAAUGAUAGGGAUGGAAGGGUCACUUUGGGAUGGGGACAUAAAGGUAGAAGACCUUUCUCUAGAUUUGCCAGUACAACUUGGGAUGGAAAGGGCAGGCAGAUCAGAUAAGUUUGCUUGCCAUGGAACUGCAUCCAGCUUGGUAUGCCGGAGUGAGAUUUGUCUUGCAAAAGGUAGGAUUGCAUGGCUAGAGUGUUGCAGGUGCCAUUGACUUCCAUGUCACUGAAUGCCCCCACAUGGUCCACUCAUGAUGAGAAAUGCAGAGCCCCUUAAUGUAUGCUGGAACUUUCUUCUAUGACUUUUUAUAUUCUGCUGUCCCUGCUCCACCAACUGGUGGUAGGUCUCCUGGAGUCAAACUGUACCGAUGCAUGAUGAGCAGUUUGAAAGCCAUGCCCUAUUAAAGACUAGGUUAAUUUCCUUGGAUCCAAGGAGCUGCAUUUAAGGGAAGGAAAUUAGUGAAGUGCUACGAUGGCAACGUGGGAUCAUAGAUGGAGGUCUGCUGCAAGUCCCAGUGUGACUGUAGAACCCACAGAUCUUGUACCAGCCUCUCAUGGACUGAUCACUGAUGGAAGCUCCUCUAAUACCUACCAGUCUGCAGUUGAGCAAGUUGUGUUUCUUGCCAAGAAAAUCUGUGAUGGCAAAUUAUGUUCUUCAUUUAUUUGCUGAUAAAACCAUCUUUCCAUAAGAUGGCACAGGAUAUUAAAUGAGUGAUGUUUCAGAAGAAUGAUGGCAACAAAAGAAGGCCAGAAACUAAUGUCAAGCUUUCAGAUUCAUGUUGGCAAAAGAAGCUAGUUCUGAAAGAUGGAAACAAAUGCCCCAAACUCAAACACUCAUGAAACAGUUUCAAGGUUGGAAGUAUAGAUAAUAUGCAUUAUUUCAAUUAAUCUCAAGUCUGCAUUGCUCAUAGAAAUGGGACUUUAUCAUCUCAAUGGAAUAAGCAGCAGCGGAAAUCUUGUCUGCAAUGUUCUCCUCUACCAUCAUGAUAAUUUCCACAUUGUCCAGCAUAUCCAUCUGCAAAUCUUACCUGCCAAGCACAGGUAUUGUAUAA